rnacentral:rRNA from 1 species
UACGGAGGGGACUAGCGUUGUCCGGAAUCACUGGGCGUAAAGGGCGCGUAGGCGGCGCGACAAGGCGGCGGUGAAAGUCCGGGGCUCAACCCCGGAUCGGCCGUGGCGACUGUCGCGCUCGAGCACAGUAGAGGCGGGUGGAAUUCCGGGUGUAGCGGUGGAAUGCGUAGAGAUCCGGAAGAACACCGGAGGCGAAGGCGGCUUGCUGGGCUUGGUCUGACGCUGAGGCGCGAAAGCGUGGGGAGCGAACAGG